AGAGUUUGAUCAUGGCUCAGGACGAACGCUGGCGGCGUGCUUAACACAUGCAAGUCGAACGGAAAGGCCCUUCGGGGUACUCGAGUGGCGAACGGGUGAGUAACACGUGGGUGAUCUGCCCUGCACUUUGGGAUAAGCCUGGGAAACUGGGUCUAAUACCGAAUAGGACCGCGCGCUUCAUGGUGUGUGGUGGAAAGCUUUUGCGGUGUGGGGUGGGCCCGCGGCCUAUCAGCUUGUUGGUGGGGUAAUGGCCUACCAAGGCGACGACGGGUAGCCGGCCUGAGAGGGUGACCGGCCACACUGGGACUGAGAUACGGCCCAGACUCCUACGGGAGGCAGCAGUGGGGAAUAUUGCACAAUGGGCGCAAGCCUGAUGCAGCGACGCCGCGUGAGGGAUGACGGCCUUCGGGUUGUAAACCUCUUUCACCAGGGACGAAGCGCAAGUGACGGUACCUGGAGAAGAAGCACCGGCCAACUACGUGCCAGCAGCCGCGGUAAUACGUAGGGUGCGAGCGUUGUCCGGAAUUACUGGGCGUAAAGAGCUCGUAGGUGGUUUGUCGCGUUGUUCGUGAAAACUCACAGCUUAACUGUGGGCGUGCGGGCGAUACGGGCAGACUAGAGUACUGCAGGGGAGACUGGAAUUCCUGGUGUAGCGGUGGAAUGCGCAGAUAUCAGGAGGAACACCGGUGGCGAAGGCGGGUCUCUGGGCAGUAACUGACGCUGAGGAGCGAAAGCGUGGGGAGCGAACAGGAUUAGAUACCCCGGUAGUCCAA
rnacentral:rRNA from 1 species